CCAGAAGAAGCCACCAUAGAUAUCAAAGACUGUGCUGACUUUGAUAUCCGUGAAACAUUCAAGACACUGGAUGGUACAGAAGAAUUAACACCUGAUGAAAAGGACAGCAUCAAUGAGCUGGCAUUGUCCUGGGAUCUGCCUACGGUCACCUCUGAGAACAGGAGAUGGCUGCUUGAUAAACUGUUGCUCCAUGCUGUUCUUCAAAGGACUUCCAGACAAGUCAAACAGUUACGGCGAGGUUUGAAGGAGACGCUGAUUUGGCCCUUGCUAACAGAGAGGAAAGAUACGAUCCCCCUUCUUUUUCCAAGGACAUCAGAUACGCAGUACACACCACAGGUGGUUUUGGACAAGAUACAGUGGCCCACACAGGACCAAGAGGACAGUGACGUGUCUUUGGAGGAUGCAUGCAGGAUCACAGGAUUCCUUCGCACAUUUGUUGAGAAUUGUAAGUAGAUGUGUUACUAAUGUUAACCCUUAUGGGUUAUUUAACUGGAGCUCUCAAACAGGAUAGAUAACUUACUUUAGGUCAAAUAGUUUACAUGCUUUUAUUUUCUCUUUACUCUCUGAACAACAUACGGUUUGGUCAUUUUAGAGUCACAUCAUA